GGAGGCACGGUAGUGCAGUGGUUAAGUAUGCUUGACUUGGGAUCAAGAGGUCCUGAGUUUGAGUCCUUGGCCUUCA